rnacentral:rRNA from 1 species
AGUGAACGCUGGCGGUAGGCCUAACACAUGCAAGUCGAACGGCAGCACAGUAAGAGCUUGCUCUUACGGGUGGCGAGUGGCGGACGGGUGAGGAAUACAUCGGAAUCUGCUUUUUCGUGGGGGAUAACGUAGGGAAACUUACGCUAAUACCGCAUACGACCUACGGGUGAAAGCAGGGGAUCUUCGGACCUUGCGCGAUUGAAUGAGCCGAUGUCGGAUUAGCUAGUUGGCGGGGUAAAGGCCCACCAAGGCGACGAUCCGUAGCUGGUCUGAGAGGAUGAUCAGCCACACUGGAACUGAGACACGGUCCAGACUCCUACGGGAGGCAGCAGUGGGGAAUAUUGGACAAUGGGCGCAAGCCUGAUCCAGCCAUACCGUGUGGGUGAAGAAGGCCUUCGGGUUGUAAAGCCCUUUUGUUGGGAAAGAAAAGCAGCAGGUUAAUACCCCGCUGUUCUGACGGUACCCAAAGAAUAAGCACCGGCUAACUUCGUG